GCCCGGAUAGCUCAGUCGGUAGAGCAUUAGACUUAAUCUGAGGGUCCACGGUUCGAGUCCCUGUUCGGGGG
rnacentral:tRNA from 1 species